UACGGAGGGUGCGAGCGUUAUUCGGAAUCACUGGGCGUAAAGGGCGCGUAGGCGGCCUGGUAAGUCAGGGGUGAAAUCCCACGGCUCAACCGUGGAAUUGCCUUUGAAACUGCUGGGCUUGGAUCCUGGAGAGGGUGGCGGAAUUCCUGGUGUAGGGGUGAAAUCCGUAGAUAUCAGCAGGAACGCCGGUGGGGAAGCCGGUCUCCUGGGCCGUUCCUGACGCUCAUGCACGAAAGCGUGGGGAGCAAACAGG
rnacentral:rRNA from 1 species